rnacentral:sRNA from 1 species
ACACGGCGCGGGAUGGACGCGCAGGACUGCCAGGCGGCGGCAACGCCCGAGCCGCCCGGGCCCCCAGCCCGUGGCUGCGUGGCCGCCUGGUGGGACAUGGUCGACCGCAACCUGCGGCACACAGUCCCCAGCUGCCGGGGGGAAGAUGCCAAGGGGAAGGACCGUUGCUGGUAUGAAGCAGCCCUUCGCGAUGGGAACCCAAUUAUUGUUUAUCUUCAUGGCAGUGCAGAACACAGGGCAGCUUCUCACAGACUGAAGCUGGUAAAGGUGCUGAGUGAUGGUGGCUUUCAUGUCUUGUCUGUUGACUACAGAGGAUUUGGGGACUCUACGGGUAAGCCCACAGAGGAGGGACUGACUACGGAUGCCAUUAGUGUCUAUGAGUGGACCAGGGCAAGAAGUGGCAUCACUCCCGUGUGUCUCUGGGGCCACUCUCUGGGUACAGGAGUUGCAACAAAUGCUGCAAAAGUGCUAGAAGAAAAAGGAUGCCCAGUUGAUGCUAUUGUCUUGGAAGCUCCAUUUACCAACAUGUGGGUUGCAAGUAUCAAUUAUCCCUUGUUAAAGAGUCUCUCUCUGUCGCCCAGGCUAGAGUGCAGUGGCUUGAUCUCGGCUCACUGCAAGCUCUGCCUCCCAGGUUCACACCAUUUUCCUGGCUCAGCCUGCCGAGUAGCUGGGACUACAGGCACCCGCCACCAUACCUGGCUAAUUUUUCUGUGUUUGUAGUAGAGACACGGUUUCACUGUGUUAGGCAGGAUGAUCUUGAUCUCCUGACCUUGUGAUCUGCCCACCUCUGUCUCCCAAAGUGCUGGGAUUACAGGUGUGAGCCACCGCGCCCAGCUGAUAAAGAGAUGUUUCUAAAUUUCAGGUGGACCAUUUACCAAUAUUUUUCUUUAUGGUAACUUUUGUGUCAUUUAUAAUAAAACUCUGUUUACCCAAAUAUUAUCAAGAUAUUCUUCUAUGUUGUCUUCUGGAAACUAUUUUACCUUUUACAUGUAAAGCUAUAAUCCACAGGUUUAGAUUUUUGUAUGGAGGCAGGGGUCCACAUGAAUGUCUAAUUGGUCUAGAGCCAUUUAUUAAAUGGACCUUCCCCACCACUAUGCAGUGCUAAUGUUUGCACAUAUCAGUGUCUAUAUAUAGAGAGAGAGGUCUGGUGGUAGGUUCUCAUUUCUCUUCAUUGUCUGUCAAUCUUAAUAUACUAUGGCCUUUUAAUUACUAUAGCUUUAUAAUAUGUCUUGAUAUCUGGUUGUAUAAGUUCCUUAGCUUGGUCUUCUUAUUCAAGAUUGUCUUGGCUAUUCUUAAUGCUUUGCCUUUCGGUAUACAUUUUGAAAUACACUUGUCACGUUCUACACAAAACUUGCUGGGACUUUGGGAUUGCAUUGGAUCUAUUUGGGGGACUUGAGAUCAAUUUGAAGGACUUGGUAUCUUUCUAACAUUGAGUCUUCAAAUUCAUGAGUAUUGUAUUUUAUUUAUUAUUUAUUUAUUUAAUUUUACAUUUAUUUCUCAUUUAGGUUUUGUUUAGUUUCAGUUUUAGGUCAUAUUCUCCUAGAAGCAAAGCCCAAGACAGAGAUUUGGUGUGUUUGAUUUAUUGAGGAAAUGUUCUUCAGGAAAAAAUCCAAAAGGGAAUGAGAGUAGUAGCACUGGAAAGGGGGAAGAGCAGAACAAGGAUGUGACCUCAAGCAAAGUCUGGCUUUGGCCUGAUUCAGGCGGAGUGCUAAGCUUUGAGGCAAAGUGCUAAGCUUUGAGGGCCUGUUGUUUCUGCCAUCCCCUAGGGUAGGCAGUGGAGGAGGAGCAGGAGGAUGACAUAACCUUUUAUGAGUGAUGGCUUUUGUCAUCUAAGAAUAAGGAGAAGCAGCCAACACUCCAGCGGAAGUCAAUUAAUUUUGUUAGUCUUUUCAAAGAACCAACUUUGACUUUGUUCGUCUUCUGUGUUAUGUGGUUUCUAUAUUUUUAAUUUCUGGUUUUACCUGUAUUAUUCCCUUUCUCAUAUGUUCUUUGGAUUUAAUUUGUUGUUAUUUAAACAUUUCUUUAGAUAGUACUGAAUACCAUCUAAUAAUUUAUUUUUACUAUUUUUUUUCUAAUUUAUGUACUACGGCAUACUUCACCUAAACCACACUUCAGCUGCAUCCAAAUUUUGAAGUGUGUUCUAAUUAUCAUUUAGUUCAAAAUAUUUUAUAAUAUUAUUGUAAUUUCCUCCUUGACUAUAUGGAUUAUUUAGAAGUAUGAUUCAUAACUUCUAUGCAUUUGGGCAUUUGAUUAUGAUUUUUAUUGAUUUUUACCUUAAUUCUCUCAAGAUCCAAGAAUAUACUGUGUAUGAUUUUAGUCUUUUGAAAUUUGUUGAGACUCACUUUAUGUACUAAUGUAUGGUCAAUUUUGGCAAAUUUUCCAUAUGCUUGAAAAGAAUGUGUUCUGCUGUUUUCAAUGCAGUGUUCUAUGUAUGUCAAUUGAAUUGGGAUUAUUAACCAUGCUCAA